CAAUAUUACUUUACAACCUCACUUUUCUAAACCCUAGCCUCCCUCUCAUUCAUUGGUUUACUGGAUCCAUCAUCGUCUUCUACUUUUAGUUCCACGCUUCCUCAUUCCCUUCUUCAUACUCUGAAACCCUAGACCCUUCUCCCUCUUUCCCUUUCCUUCUCUCUCUCUCUCUCUCCCUCUCAAAGAUCGUAGAUCUGGGAUAUGCUAAUCUCUUCGCGAUUCACCAAAAGCCACUGCUCCGAAGGAGGACCGACGGUUGGAGGGUGGUGGAGGUGGAGGCGGUUCAGAAAACCCUAGAUUCGGAGGUGGAGGCAGUUCAGAAAACCCUAAAUUCGAGCAUUGUUGGUUCAUUACCAUAAAUGAGUAUUGUUUGAAAUCACAAUUCAGCCCCUGAACAAUGUGGUGAUUAUCCAUGAGCAUGCCUAUGCAGCCCUGUUUGAAACCAUAGGUUGGACGCCAUCAUCUCUGAACACCCAUCUCUGCACAACCAUUGUGCCGGUUCAUUCCAAGGUUGCGUUGUACAAGAGUUAUAAAGGAACUGAUAACUUAGAUACGGUGAACAGGCAGUCAUUCUCUGCCAUAUACAUGAAUAUGAUAAGUGAUCCUUCAUUUCUAAGAUUAUAUCAAAAUAUUGAACCAACUGAUGAGUUAAGCGAUGAAUAUAUAUUAUUUUUGUCACAACAUUUGAUUUGUAUGCUCAUGUGUUUGUUUGUUUUUUUAAGAAAGGGUGGAACGUCAUGUAUGCCUCUUGUAAUUGGAUGUUCUUUAGAAGCAUUUAUAUCAGUGAAAAUUGGUGGAACUUAUGCAUGGAGAGGAGAACAUACACAAUAGCCUGAAAUGCCAGUGAUUUCUUCAACUCCGACUACCGUCGAAGAGACUUCAAGGAUUGCACUGAUCGCCGCUCACAGAAUCGUUCGAGCUCUCGAUUACGAUGUUGAUGAAUUUUAGGCCACCUGCGACCCAGCUUGCAGAUAUAUCAGUUGGAAAUUUUAGAUGGCUCAGAGAAAGAAUUGAAAAGCGCAUUGAAAAUUUUUCAAGUGGGCCUGAAGAUGAUUCUGAGACGACGAUGAGAUCUGUGACAGGUGGCAAUCAAAGGAAGCUUCAUAGAGUGUGGACUUUUUUCGGAAGUAAAGAAGUUGUUCGAUGGUGUUGCUCAUUUCGGUGUAGGAAAAUGGACUCAUAUAAGAAAUCCCUUUUUUCAUCAUCAACUCAUCAAACACGUAUACAUUUGAAGGUUCAUGUUGAUAAAGGGAUUGUACCUGGGGUCACUAUGUCUCUUGCAACGGGUGCAACUUACUUUCAAGACUAGAGAAUCAGGAUGCGAUCGAUGGUGCUAUCGUUAUUCGUUGCUGUGCUUGGAGACCCGAAGGAGGCUCCAGCUGGGAUUUGAGAUGUCCAUUUUCAACCGUUCAAUCCAACGGACAAAAAACUACGCGUAUGUACACAGAUCAGGGCCGACCCGUGGUGGUGCAGGUUAGGCGAGCGCACGGAGCCUAAUAGUUUUAAGGGCCUAAAAUAAUUCCCCAUUUAGGUUUUGUAUAAAAUAAAUACGAACAUGAAAAUGUUAAUAAUGAUGAUAUAAAGCUGCUAGUUGCGCCUGUUUGUAUAUUUACUUAGGAUGCAGCUUCGAAUCCUAUAAUCUCAAUGUAAUAUUGUUUUUUGUUU